UAUGUGAUCGUCUCUCGCAUAUCAAUAAGCGGAGGAAAAGAAACUAACAAGGAUUCCCCUAGUAACGGCGAGUGAAGCGGGAAGAGCUCAAAUUUGAAAUCUUAAAGGGUUUCCCUUUACGAAUUGUAGUUUAAAGAAGUGUUUUCUGUUGAGGUUUUGGUAAAAGUUCUUUGGAAUAGGACAUCAUAGAGGGUGAGAAUCCCGUAUUUGACCUUUACUUUCAACUUUGUGAUACACUUUCAAAGAGUCGGAUUGUUUGGGAAUGCAGUCCAAAAUGGGUGGUAAAUUUCAUCUAAAGCUAAAUAUUGGCGAGAGACCGAUAGCGAACAAGUACCGUGAGGGAAAGAUGAAAAGAACUUUGAAAAGAGAGUUAAACAGUACGUGAAAUUGUCAAAAGGGAAGCGUUUGACACCAGUGUUGUUUUUCUGAAAAUCAAUUAAAGAACUGUUUAUGCUAAGUUGUUUAGACUUUAUCAGCUAACUGUUUAGUUUUAGGCUUUUCUUUAAUGCACUUUUCAGUUAACGAGUCAACAUCAAUUUCUUUUGCUGUAAAAAAGCUUGAGGAAGGUGGCUUGAGAUUCGUCUUAAGUGUUUAUAGCCUCUUGCCUAUGCAGUCGGAGAGAUUGAGGUCUGCAGCGUAGAUCCUUCGGGGCUAAAUGCAUUUGUGCUAAGUUAUAGCAUUUUAUAGACAACUUGUUGACUAUGAUUUGUCUUGUAGCUUACUCGCUUAUGUUAUUUUACCUACGCUUAGGAUGUUGAUCUACAGAGCGAGAGU
rnacentral:rRNA from 1 species